UUUACCAGUUGUUAAUAAUGUGAUAAAAAAAUAUUCAUUAGAACUUUUGAACUUGUGAAUUAUGAAAUGUACCGAUGGUGUUUGGAUUUACAAGUCGACAAGCAUCACCUGAAUGCACCGGAGGAGGAAGAGGAAGUGAAGAUGGAUGAGGAGGGAAGUAAUUCAUGCAUCACGUCUUUCCAACCAAGAGGCAUGGGCGCCUAGUUACAGUCAAAAAUCGGGGUGCAAGAUUAGUGACAGAGGUUGGAGCUCGUCCUCCGACGAGAUGAGGACAAAGAUGAGGACAAAGAUGAGGACAAAGAUGAGGACAAAGACGAGGACGCCUGUUUGUUUUUUCCCUCAUCCAGUCCUGCAGCUCCAGGCGGAGGUGACGGGUCAGAUCCCUCCCACCUGGACUUAAAUACGGGGGAGGUGGAGCUCAGCAGUGACCUCUGACCUUUGAGCACCAAAAUCUAAUCAGUCCAUCCUCCAGUCCGGUUGGAUGUUUGUCCGUGAAGGGGACGUACAGACGGACAACCCGAAAACAUAAUCCUCUGGCCACAACUGUCGCCGGCAUGGAGGCAGAGAAAUGAAGUUGAUGCAGCCGAGGCUGAGAUCUCUCGUACAGUCAAAGCUCCUCAAACACUGGAUGCUGCAUUUCCCAUAAUGCAACUUUUCAUUCAUUUAAUUAAACCCAUAGAGCCACA